ensembl:snoRNA
GAGCAGUGAUGUGAACUUUAAUAACCUGAAGUGUAUUUAAUCCAAUACAUUUUAUGAGGGUUUCUACACUUGAACUGAGCUCA